GAAGACGGGACUGGGAGAGAAAGCUGUGGAGCUCCUCAUAGAGGAGACACUCAAACACACCCCGGCAGCCCAUUCAAAACAAGCCAGGGCCAACAGACAGGACCUGUAGCGGGGACUGGCAGAAGAUUUUAAUUCACUGUUUGGCACUUUGUUUGAAAUAAAAUGACAAUG